AGCAGUCGCCACGGUAAUUCGAAGGGUGCAAGCGUUACUCGGAAUUACUGGGCGUAAAGCGUGCGUAGGUGGUGGUUUAAGUCCGUUGUGAAAGCCAUGGGCUCAACCUGGGAAUUGCAGUGGAUACUGGGUCACUAGAGUGUGGUAGAGGAUAGUGGAAUUUCCGGUGUAGCAGUGAAAUGCGUAGAGAUCGGAAGGAACAUCUGUGGCGAAGGCGACUAUCUGGGCCAACACUGACACUGAGGCACGAAAGCGUGGGGAGCAAACAGGAUUAGAUACCCCUGUAGUCCCUGUCUCUUAUAA
rnacentral:rRNA from 1 species